rnacentral:rRNA from 1 species
AGGUAGGAGCACAUUAGCACUUGUGUACCGGACCAUAAAAGAACUUUGCAGUUAAGCAUGCUUAGGUGAGAGCGGUUCUAAGAUGAGUGACCUCCUGGGAAGUUCCCGGGUCGUACACC